GACGAACGCUGGCGGCGUGCUUAACACAUGCAAGUCGAACGGAAAGGCCCUGCUUUUGUGGGGUUCUCGAGUGGCGAACGGGUGAGUAACACGUGAGUAACCUGCCCUUGACUUUGGGAUAACUUCAGGAAACUGGUGCUAAUACCGGAUAGGAGCUCCUGCUGCAUGGUGGGGGUUGGAAAGUUUCGGCGGUUGGGGAUGGACGGGCGGGUUAUCAGCUUGUUGGUUGGGUAGUUGCUUACCAAGGCUUUGACGGGUAGCCGGCCUGAGAGGGUGACCGGCCACAUUGGGCCUGAGAGACGGCGCAGACUCCUACGGGAGGCAGCAGUGGGGAAUAUUGCACAAUGGGCGGAAGCCUGAUGAAGAAACGCCGCGUGCGGGAUGACGGCCUUCGGGUUGUAAACCGCUUUCGCCUGAGACGAAGCGUGAGUGACGGUAAUGGGUAAAGAAGCACCGGCUAACUACGUG
rnacentral:rRNA from 1 species